AAAAUAUCACCAAGCUACGACGCUACAACGUAUUCUAGACUGGCAUGAAUUGGAAACGACUAAACAAUGGGUAACCCUAGAUCAUGAGGGGAACGGGUCGAAACUAAAGGCACCGGUAUGGAAAAAACAAACAACUAGGGGUGCAGGAAGAAAAGGGGAGGACCCAGUCACACAAACCCUGCUCACAUAGGAAGCCAUCAGGGAAGCACCGCAAAUC